AAAGGGUGCGUAGGCGGCCUGUUAAGUCAGGGGUGAAAGACGGUAGCUCAACUAUCGCAGUGCCCUUGAUACUGAUGGGCUUGAAUGGACUAGAGGUAGGCGGAAUGAGACAAGUAGCGGUGAAAUGCAUAGAUAUGUCUCAGAACACCGAUUGCGAAGGCAGCUUACUAUGGUCCUAUUGACGCUGAGGCACGAAAGCGUGGGGAUCAAACAGGAUUAGAUACCCUGGU
rnacentral:rRNA from 1 species